UACGGGGGAGCAAGCGUUGUUCGGAUUUACUGGGCGUAAAGGGCGCGUAGGCGGUCGUGACAAGUCACUUGUGAAAUCUCCGGGCUUAACUCGGAACGGUCAAGUGAUACUGUCGGACUAGAGUACAGAAGGGCAACUGGAAUUCUCGGUGUAGCGGUGAAAUGCGUAGAUAUCGAGAGGAACACCUGCGGCGAAGGCGGGUUGCUGGCUGAUACUGACGCUGAGGCGCGAAAGCCAGGGAGCGAACGGG
rnacentral:rRNA from 1 species